rnacentral:lncRNA from 1 species
GGACUCAUUUUCCACCGGAAGGAGGGAGAAAUUAUGACCGAGAGCCUGACACCUGAUGCUAGCGGCUUUUGUCUCGCCAAGUUGACCCAGUAUUUGGCCACCUUGUGCGGCGGGUGACUAUGGUGUCCAGGUAUAUAUAUGUAUUACCUGAAAGCCCAGGGCAGUUGUUGCCUUGGGUCAUGCAGAGAAUAUGCAGCCACACCCAUGCCUUAGAUGUGUGUAAUUCAAGUGGAGAAGACACAAGCCAGUGGUCGCAAUAUCAACACUUGAGUGUUCUGUAAACGAUUAAUGUUUGCCAUGUGCAAGGAAAUGGCAGAGGCAAAAUGCUGGCGGCUUAUGGAAAAAUAAUUUAUAAAAAAAUGAUGGGUUAGUUCUGCCAAAUUUGAGUAAGUGAGAACACGAGAAACCAUAUUCUGUUAGAGCUUGAGAAAAGGAAGGAAAGUCAAACGGUGAGUCUAACCUCAUUUAUUCCAGGAUUGGUGUCAGCAGAAAACCAACAGUGAUGUGGUGGCACACAGUGAACUGACAGGACCCAGGCAGCAGCGGUUCUUUUGGUGGCAAUGGUGCCAUGUCAUGGGUACUCUCCUUGCUGAUGGCAGAUACCGACAGGCAAACUGUUGCCUUGCGUUUAGCUCUGUUAACCAUUGACAGUAAGGUAAGCAUGUCUUCAGCGUUCAUGGCUCUUAAAGAUCUUGUCUGUAACACAAGGGUUUAAGACUGGGGUCUCAUUUUGUUGUCCUGACUUAGACUUGGCAGUCCUCCUGCUUCAGCCUGCUAAGUGCCAAGAUUACAGGGUUGAGCCAGCAUGCCUAACUUCUAGUUUAGUUUCUUCAGACAGGGUCUCAUGCAGCACAGGCUGGCUUUAGACUUGCUAUUGAGCAUAGGAUUACCUUGAACCCUUGAUCUUCCUGACUCUACCUUCUAAGUUCUGGGAUUCCAGGCAUGCUCAGUUAAAACAAUAGGUGGAUUUAGUCAUAUUCUUCUGGAGACUAAGACAAUAGAGUCCUUGAAGUCAAGCUGACUCUGCCUUUAGCCUCCUACAUGAAAAGGUAGAUAGAACAGGUCUUGUUUGCAAAAUAAAUUCAAGACCUACUUAUCUACCAACAGCCAUUGCCUACGUCCCACAGUCUUCCUACAAGAAGUGGGUGCAGUGAACUCCUAGAUGAGGAAGGCUGGGAAAGCCAGAGUGGACACAGUCUCUACUAGUGAUAGAAAGGUGCUUGGAGGUCAGACAGGCGGGUUAGAAAGUUGAGAACUUGUUUCCUAUAAUGCAGGUUUGAGGAAUCCAAAAAGUGUAUUGUCACUUACACAAUUCUGCAUCACAAUGAAUUGUAGGUGGGUCACGUAGGGCAGUAGUUGUACCAGAUGUGAGGGUGAGACGCUGAGACGCCCAGCUGCCCAUAAACUGGUUCUGUUUGUACUAAAGGGCAAGUACACGCUUCAGAAAUAUUUUAUUUCAUGUGCACAAGUGAUUACCAUCAUUUGAAAAGGCAGGGAGCUGAUAUGUGUGUGUGUGUGUAUGUGUGUGUGUGUGUGUGAUGAAGAGUGAAGAGGGGGCUUAUGUGCCGUGGCACACAUGAAGUUCAAAGACAACUCUCCUUCCAUGGUGUCGGAUUUGGGGAUUGAACUCAGGUCCUCAGGUUUGGUAACAAGUACCCUUACCAGCCCCAGGAGCCAGCCAUUAAACAUACCAAUUUUUUGCCAUUUAUAGUGGCUCAUGCAUGUAAUCUCAGCAUUUGAGAAGCUGAAGCAGGAGGCUUGCCACAAGUGUAAGGUCAUCUUGGGCUACCUGGUGAGACACUGUCUCAAAAAACCCAAACCAAAUAGCCACCACCACCAACAAAGUCCAAAACAAAAAAAGUAAUUCUGUGAAUGAAAGCUAUUUAGUUUACCAGAAGCCAAUGCUGUUUUAUAGCCCAUGUUCCUAACUACUUGUUCCUUCUCUCUGCUACUUGUUAUGUUCUGGGUAGUGUGGCUUUUAAAUGCUUGCAGUUUCCACCCACGUCCUGUGAAGGCUUUACAGACUCUCUCCCCUUUGCUAGGGUGUGGAGCCAACACCCGUGCGCUCACUCAGUCAAGAGUUAACGCGGUGGGGCAGGUAAAGCGGGAGAAGAGCGGAUGUUGAUGGAGUUUGGUUUAUCUGCUUAGUAUCAGGGUCGUGUGACAGUGGUCUCAGUGUUAAAGAUACUUUUCUAUGUUGAGCGUGGAGUUCAAGGCUAGCCUGGCCGAGUUAUAGGCCCCCCAGGGCUACAUAGUGAGACCCUAUCUCAAACAAACAUACAGAUACUCACAUAUAAAAAAAUGUUUUUAAAUGUUUAUCUGUUUUGUGUUUUAACAGAUUUAUCAGAGGUUGCAGCUGCACAUGGCCAUGAGGUAAACCUUGCCCCUGUUUGAAAUUGAGUUUCAUCAGCUUCUACAUGGGAUUAUAAGGACUUGGAAUAUAUCACAGACCCAGCAGGGUUUCCCCCCUCAUUUUUUUUUUUUAAGAUUUAUUUUUCUUCCUAAAGAUAACAUGCUUAAACAAAGUUCUUUAUGGUUAGUAACUGUGAUGCUUGAAGUUGGUUAUCCCUUACUCCAGUAAAUUUUAAAUGUCAAAGAUAUCUUGUUAAAUAAAAAAAAAACUAUCAAAA